CUGCCAAUCCUACUCUAAGAUUCAGGACGAAAAAGAAAAUUGAGAAACUAAAUGACUGCUUUUCUUCUGCACUCUCCAUGAGAUUCAGACUACAAAAGCCAUAGUUACAUGGAGCGUGUUCUGAUGCUUGAAUUCAGGAGUAAACGAGGAUAAGCAAAUGACACAGUACAUUUGAAAGGCCUCUGUGUAAAUGUGGCAUAUGAUUCUGCAAUGGCUAAGGGGUCUAGAUUUUCCAUAAAAUUAACAACGUUUAGAGGCAGAUUUCUACAGAGAGGAACAUUCUUCCUGUUUUGGCAGCCUGGUCCACAGGAAGAUUUGUGAACUGAGUGAUGAGCCAAUUUGUUUUCUGGAUGAAUUAUAUUCAAACAACCUCACCGCAUCUCUCCAGAGAACUGUUUAUAAGGUUACGAGCUCAUCAAGCUCUUGCCCUGUGUAACAGAAGCUGAUUGGGCUUAAAUGGUAACACGUUGAAGGAAAAACUAGGCCUCCAGAGACCUCACGAAGCUGAUUGGAGUUCUGCCUUCCUUUGCCCUCUGCUUCUUUGUACUUUUGACAACUCAAGGGUCUUGCUCUGUCUUCCAGGCUGGAGUGCAAUGGUGAGAUCAUACCUCACUAUAGCCUUGGACUCCUGGGCUCAAGGAAUCUUCCUGCCUCAGCCUCCUUAAUAUGCUGGGAUUACGGAUAUAAGCCACCACACCUGCCGUCUAUUUACAGAAAUGUUACAGAUGAGGAUGAGACCAAACUAUCUCUUCUGUGUAGUUUCUGCUAACUCUAACAUUAAAAUUUGGAUCG